rnacentral:rRNA from 1 species
UGGUGCCAGCAGCCGCGGUAAUUCCAGCUCCAAUAGCGUAUAUUAAAGUUGUUGCAGUUAAAAAGCUCGUAGUUGAAUUUCGGGGUUAGUAGGUUGGUCAUGCCUCUGGUAUGUACUGGUCUCACUGAUUCCUCCUUCCUGAUGAACCGUAAUGCCAUUAAUUUGGUGUUGCGGGGAAUUUGGACUGUUACUUUGAAAAAAUUAGAGUGUUUAAAGCAAGCUAACGCUUGAAUACAUUAGCAUGGAAUAAUGAAAUAGGACGUUCGAUCCUAUUUUGUUGGUUUCUAGGAUUGACGUAAUGAUUAAUAGGGAUAGUUGGGGGCAUUAGUAUUCAAUUGUCAGAGGUGAAAUUCUUGGAUUUAUUGAAGACUAACUACUGCGAAAGCAUUUGCCAAGGAUGUUUUCAUUAAUCAAGAACGAAAGUUAGGGGAUCGAAGACGAUCAGAUACCGUCGUAGUCUUAAUCAUAAACUAUGCCGACUAGGGA